AAUGAACGCUGGCGGCGUGCUUAACACAUGCAAGUUGGACGAGAAAGGCUGAUUUCGGUUGGCCGAGUAAAGUAGCGCACGGGUGAGUAACGCGUAGGCAACCUACCCUUGUAUUGGGGAUAACCCCGCGAAAGCGGGGCUAAUACCGGAUACGAUCCCACGAUGGUGGUUGUGGGAUGAAAGUCAGCCACUCGAAGAAGCUGACGUACGAGGAUGGGCCUGCGUCCUAUCAGCUAGUUGGUGGGGUAGUGGCCUACCAAGGCGACGACGGGUAGCUGGUCUGAGAGGAUGAUCAGCCACACUGGCACUGGAACACGGGCCAGACUCCUACGGGAGGCUG
rnacentral:rRNA from 1 species